rnacentral:rRNA from 1 species
UACGGAGGGUGCGAGCGUUGUCCGGAAUCACUGGGCGUAAAGGGCGCGUAGGCGGCGCGGGAAGUCAUCGGUGAAAGCUCAGGCUCAACUCUGAGUCGGCCGGUGAUACUCUCGUGCUUGAGCACUGUAGAGGCAGGUGGAAUUCCGGGGUGUAGCGGUGGAAUGCGUAGAGAUCCGGAAGAACACCGGUGGCGAAGGCGGCCUGA